GAAGCACCGGCUAACUCCGUGCCAGCAGCCGCGGUAAUACGGAGGGUGCGAGCGUUAAUCGGAAUUACUGGGCGUAAAGGGUGCGUAGGUGGUUGGAUAAGUUAUCUGUGAAAUCCCCGGGCUCAACCUGGGAAGGUCAGAUAAGACUGUUCGACUCGAGUAUGGGAGAGGGUAGUGGAAUUUCCGGUGUAGCGGUGAAAUGCGUAGAGAUCGGAAGGAACACCAGUGGCGAAGGCGGCUACCUGGCCUGAUACUGACACUGAAGCACGAAAGCGUGGGGAGCAAACAGGAUUAGAUACCCUGGUAGUCCACGCCGUAAACGAUGUCAACUAGGUGUUGGUGAUAUGAAUAUCAUUAGUGCCGAAGCAAACGCGAUUAAGUUUGAC
rnacentral:rRNA from 1 species